GCCCGCGUUGUCUAAUGGCUAUGACGUCAGACUUCUAUUCUCUUAGAGUCUAUCUGGAGGUUGCGGGUUCGAGUCCCGCCGUGGGUU